rnacentral:rRNA from 1 species
AAUCAACGCUGGCGGCGUGCCUCAGACAUGCAAGUCGAACGCGAAAGUCCCCUUCGGGGGACGAAGUAGAGUGGCGCACGGGUGAGUAACACGUAGGUAAUCUACCUUCGGAUGGGGAAGUAACAACCGGAAACGGUUGCUAAUACCGCAUAAUGCAGCGGCACCUAAUGGUGACAGUUGUUAAAGCGGGGGAUCUAAGACCUCGCGUCUGAAGAGGAGCCUGCGGCGGAUUAGCUAGNGGGUUAGGGUAACGGCCUACCAAGGCGACGAUCCGUAGCCGGCCUGAGAGGGCGGUCGGCCACACUGACACUGACAUACGGGUCAGACUCCUACGGGAGGCAGCAGUCGGGAA